GCAACCCAAUAAAUGGAGAACUGGGCUGCCAAGUUUAGAAUGAGACCAAGAGCAAGAUUGACUUGAUGCUGUGUUGGUAAAAUUAGGCACCAUGGGUCCCCAAGUGACCCUCACCUUUCUAAGAUUAAGAGCAGGUCUGCCCUCUAGAACCUGAAGUGGAACUGCACUUAGAAAUGUGCACCAAGUGUGCUGGACCUCCUGGGACUGGUGGAUUUAAGGACAGAAUCAACAAGGGCAUUGAAGAGACUUGCUUCCACCAGAAUGAGUGUGAACAUGUGACCCAGACUGGCCAAUCAGAUUACCUCAUCCCUCUAAGGUUGUUCAAGCAUGGGCACAAGAUUCAGUGAAUUCUCUUAUAAAGAAACAAAUCAGAGCAAAAUAAGAGCAGGACAAAGAACUCUGUUUGCAGGAACGCUCUGAGCGUUGGCUUCUUCGGCAUGAACGCCAUUUCCACGUGUGCUGAACUGCUCUUGUCGAAGUCACACAGAAUAAUAUACGGGAUGGUGCCAUUUUCGAACUAACAGUCUACAAAAAUUUGUCUACGUGAUCUGCCAUCUCUGGCAGUUUUAGAAAGAAAAACACUAACACCUGGGAAGAGUAUGGACAGCAUACUUUGGCUUCUUCAAAAGCAGCCCUCAGCAAAGGGAUGGAGACCCUGUUCCCUGUUUGGUAUAGAUGGUGAGGUUGUGAAUUAGGAGUGAAACACAAAAAAAGUGGAUUUCUUCCUAUUUUCUGAUCACACUGAACCUUGAGUCACUGAAAUUUUCUAGUCCAGUGAUUUCUCCCAGAUACUGGCAAUGGGUUAACUGUGUGUACGUGUAUUCACUUGCCUUCCAUUGGAGAACCAACCAAUGCUAUGUAGCUCUAUAUUUUGACAAGACCCCCUUCAGAGUGUACCCCAACCAGGACCUCAUUCGGAAUUCCUCUGUGAGUGAGUGUGCAUCAUUAAGAUGAACCUGCUGAACCGCCAGAAUCCUGAUGGUGAUGAGAAGGUGCUGCCUUCUAAGAGGUCCAGAUGUCUUGAAAACCAGAAAAGAUCCAAAUUUGAAAUGAUGGAGAUGCAAAAUGCAAGGCCCUCAAGAUCACAGGAAUGGCAGAACCUGGACAUCAUCAAGGGUGCCAGACGAUGCCCAGUAACCCAGCAGUGUCUUUGAGGACUAUACAAGAAGAUACUUUGUCACUGAUGGAAGCACCUGCCUCAGGCUCACUGGAACAAAAUCUGUGGCUUCUCUUGUUUGAUCUAAUUCCCGCUGAUCUUUCUGGUGUCUUCUGGUGCUGUUUGUACACCUUUGGCUCCUUAGGAUUCAGAAUCACCCUCAACACUGGAAAGCCUACAGCUAGCGGCCACACCUCAGCAAAAGUGAAGACUACUAGUUUCUGUUGCUUGUUCAUGAGAUCUUUUUCACCUCUUUUGUGAGCAUCAAAGAGAUUGAAAUGAUUUGGACUACCUUCAUUCUCAAAAGCAAUGCACGACUGUAGCUGUGAUAGAGACUGGAGGACCACAAAGAUAUUCACUACCUGCUCUUUUAUAGAAAGUUGGCAACUCUUACUUUAGAGAAUUCACUUGGAUGGUUAACUGACUUGGUACAUGAUGAAAACCCUUUGGAGAAGCCACUCUGCCUCUGCUCUUGCUCUUGGGGUGUUCCUGAGUGAUCUUAAGCAAACGUGCUUCUUAUCAAGGAAAACUGAAGAAUGGUCAUUCCAGUUUUGAAAAGCAAAGCAAAGCUACUGAUGCCACAGGACAUUCAUAAUAAUGACAGUGACAAGACCUAAAGCCUGAG
rnacentral:lncRNA from 1 species